CAGUGAAUCAUCGAAUCUUUGAACGCACCUUGCGCUCCUCGGUGUUCCGAGGAGCAUGCCUGUUUGAGUGUCAGU
rnacentral:rRNA from 2 species